AAUGCUUACCUGACUUUGGAUGGCUAAAGCCUGAGAAGUAUUUCUUCUUGCCAACAGAAACAGUCCUGCGUCUGCCUGCUGCCUUGGUCCUGGC